rnacentral:rRNA from 1 species
CCUACGGGAGGCAGCAGUGGGGAAUUUUGGACAAUGGGGGCACCCCUGAUCCAGCCAUGCCGCGUGAGUGAAGAAGGCCUUCGGGUUGUAAAGCUCUUUCGGCCGGGAAGAAAUCGUGGUCUCUAACAUAGGCCAUGGAUGACGGUACCGGACUAAGAAGCACCGGCUAACUACGUGCCAGCAGCCGCGGUAAUACGUAGGGUGCGAGCGUUAAUCGGAAUUACUGGGCGUAAAGCGUGCGCAGGCGGUUUUGUAAGACAGAUGUGAAAUCCCCGGGCUUAACCUGGGAACUGCGUUUGUGACUGCAAGGCUAGAGUACGGCAGAGGGGGGUGGAAUUCCACGUGUAGCAGUGAAAUGCGUAGAGAUGUGGAGGAACACCGAUGGCGAAGGCAGCCCCCUGGGCCAAUACUGACGCUCAUGCACGAAAGCGUGGGGAGCAAACAGGAUUAGAUACCCUGGUAGUCCACGCCCUAAACGAUGUCAACUAGGUGUUGGUGGGGUUAAACCCAUUAGUACCGUAGCUAACGCGUGAAGUUGACCGCCUGGGGAGUACGGCCGCAAGGUUAAAACUCAAAUGAAUUGACGG